GCUUUUCCAUUUGAUCGUUCAUUUUUUCUUUUCCUUUUUCUUUUUCUUUGUCUUUCUCGAUAGAUCUUGCAUUCAUUUCAAUUGAAAAUCUGGUAGAAGCAGUGCUCGACUCAGCAAAUGAUCCUCCACCAAGUCCAAUGUGCCUCCCUUUUUUGCUUUGAAUAAACUUAGAAAUGCAUUUUUGUUGAAUCACCUACGUGCGAAA
rnacentral:lncRNA from 1 species